rnacentral:rRNA from 1 species
GUGAGGAAUUUUGCGCAAUGGGGGAAACCCUGACGCAGCAACGCCGCGUGAGUGAAGAAGGCUUUCGGGUCGUAAAGCUCUGUCAAGAGGGAAGAAAGUGGAAGGUGGUAAUACUGUUUUCUAUUGACGGUACCUCUGAAGGAAGCACCGGCUAACUCCGUGCCAGCAGCCGCGGUAAUACGGGGGGUGCAAGCGUUAUUCGGAUUUAUUGGGCGUAAAGAGCGCGUAGGCGGUUUAUCAAGUCAGAUGUGAAAGCCCUGGGCUCAACCUGGGAAGUGCAUUUGAAACUAGUAGACUUGAGUAUGGGAGAGGGGAGUGGAAUUCCUGGUGUAGAGGUGAAAUUCGUAGAUAUCAGGAGGAACACCGGUGGCGAAGGCGACUUCCUGGACCAAUACUGACGCUGAGGCGCGAAGGCGUGGGGAGCAAACAGGAUUAGAAACCCGAGUAGUCC